rnacentral:rRNA from 1 species
AUGACGAUUAUAAUUAGCCCUCAAAAUGUAGUCCACUUUCUUGGCUUCUGUUCAAAUACACAUUGUGAAGCGAUAAACUUUCCAGGAUCAGCAGAUUUUGUUUUCGCCGAGAAGAGAGAAAGAUUACUUUGUUUCGAGUAUAUCAGCAACAGAAGCCUUGAUAAACAUAUUACCGGUACAACAGUGUUGCAUUUCAUGCAGCUCUUCCCUUUACUUUAUUUUUUUUCUCUUACUAGUACAUUUCGUGUCAGGGUUCUACAAACUCUUAGGGACAUACUUCCAUUUAAAUCCUCAAUAUACAGUUUGGCAUAUUAG